rnacentral:misc_RNA from 1 species
AACUCAACUUGCAUCUCAGUCUGCGUGUCUGAAUCUUCUUGGUGUGAAGGGUGCUAGCAAAGAGUCUCCGGGAGCGAACUCAAGGCUCUUAGCAACCAUUGUGGCUGGUUCUGUUCUUGCAGGUGAGCUAUCCCUCAUGUCUGCUAUAGCAGCUGGACAACUGGUGAGAAGUCACAUGAAAUACAAUAGAUCUAGCAGAGAUGUAUCAAAAGUUGAAUCUUAAAAGGUAUUAGAUCAACAAAGGGGUGGGAUCCAGUAGAGAUAGAAUAAAAGGAAAAAAAGAUUUGGAUCUUUCUGGUGGAAGUAGCAAAGGAAGAUAUGGCUUCUGGCUGGUUUACAUGUGAUUACCAGAAACUAGCCUAGCUGGAAGGUGGCCCCCAUUGAGGAAGACAUGCAACAUGGUUGGAUGAAACUUAAUUCUGUGGUUCUUCUGGACAUAUCGUGUGCCCCCACGAAGAUAUUUGGUGUGUUAUCUGUUGUUUGUUUUGCAAAGAAAAAGAAAAGAAAAACGAAAAACAUAUAUAUAUUGCCAUUCAUUAGCUUUCCUGACAUUUGAAAAUUUGAUGAUUCUCUUUAUUGUUAUCUGUUUGUAGAUUUGUAGACGAUGGUGGGGAAAGAGGGGCUUAGUUUUAUGUAUGAUAAUUAUGUUUCUUUGUAUGUAUUGCUUUGGUCAAGUUAUGAUGGUUGUAACUUUGUGAUGCUGUAAAAUCUUGAUAACUUGAUUGUGGUUCUAAAUCAUUACUGUAUUUCAAUGCUGU